rnacentral:rRNA from 1 species
GCCCAGACUCCUACGGGAGGCAGCAGUGGGGAAUAUUGGGCAAUGGGCGCAAGCCUGACCCAGCAACGCCGCGUGAAGGAAGAAGGCUUUCGGGUUGUAAACUUCUUUUCUCAGGGACGAAGCAAGUGACGGUACCUGAGGAAUAAGCCACGGCUAACUACGUGCCAGCAGCCGCGGUAAUACGGAGGAUGCGAGCGUUAUCCGGAUUUAUUGGGUUUAAAGGGUGCGCAGGCGGCACGGCAAGCCGGCGGUGAAGUCGCGGGGCCCAACCCCGCUCAGCCGUCGGAACUGCCGGGCUAGAGUGGGCGAGAAGUGCGCGGAAUGCGUGGUGUAGCGGUGAAAUGCAUAGAUAUCACGCAGAACUCCGAUUGCGAAGGCAGCGCACCGGCGCCCUACUGACGCUCAGGCACGAAAGCGUGGGUAUCGAACAGGAUUAGAUACCCCUGUAA